UACGAAGGGGGCUAGCGUUGCUCGGAAUCACUGGGCGUAAAGCGCACGUAGGCGGACUCUUAAGUCGGUGGUGAAAUCCUGGAGCUCAACUCCAGAACUGCCUUCGAUACUGGGAGUCUCGAGUCCGGGAGAGGUGAGUGGAACUGCGAGUGUAGAGGUGAAAUUCGUAGAUAUUCGCAAGAACACCAGUGGCGAAGGCGGCUCACUGGCCCGGUACUGACGCUGAGGUGCGAAAAGCGUGGGGAGCAAACAGGG
rnacentral:rRNA from 1 species